AGCUUCAUCAUUAUGCUAGAGCUUGUCGCCUUCAAAAUAACCCCAGGGCGCGCAAGUGUGGACAAUGAAGCAAGAAUAAAUGUACGGCUGGUUCAUUCCUUCAAAUGGCCACCCUCCGUCAAGUCAUGAAUCAUCUUGUCUGCCCGUCCCGGGUCUUGAUGGUAUGUGCUUGCGGAUACAUAUCCU
rnacentral:snoRNA from 1 species